rnacentral:rRNA from 1 species
UACGUAGGGCGCAAGCGUUAUCCGGAAUUAUUGGGUGUAAAGAGCUCGUAGGCGGUUUGUCGCGUCUGCCGUGAAAGUCCGGGGCUCAACUCCGGAUCUGCGGUGGGUACGGGCAGACUAGAGUGAUGUAGGGGAGACUGGAAUUCCUGGUGUAGCGGUGAAAUGCGCAGAUAUCAGGAGGAACACCGAUGGCGAAGGCAGGUCUCUGGGCAUUAACUGACGCUGAGGAGCGAAAGCAUGGGGAGCGAACAGG